AUGCUCUCUUCAGCAGCACAUAUACUAAAAUUAGAACGACACAGACACAUGGCUCCUGCGCAAGGAUGACACACAUAUUCGUGAAGCAUUCCAUAUUUUA
rnacentral:snRNA from 1 species